UAAGGGCGCACGGUGGAUGCCUUGGCACUAGAAGCCGAUGAAGGACGUUACUAACGACGAUAUGCUUUGGGGAGCUGUAAGUAAGCUUUGAUCCAGAGAUUUCCGAAUGGGGAAACCCAGCAUGAGUUAUGUCAUGUUAUCGAUAUGUGAAUACAUAGCAUAUCAGAAGGCACACCCGGAGAACUGAAACAUCUUAGUACCCGGAGGAAGAGAAAGAAAAUUCGAUUCCCUUAGUAGCGGCGAGCGAAACGGGAAGAGCCCAAACCAACAAGCUUGCUUGUUGGGGUUGUAGGACACUCUAUACGGAGUUACAAAGGACGACAUUAGACGAAUCAUCUGGAAAGAUGAAUCAAAGAAGGUAAUAAUCCUGUAGUCGAAAAUGUUGUCUCUCUUGAGUGGAUCCUGAGUACGACGGAGCACGUGAAAUUCCGUCGGAAUCUGGGAGGACCAUCUCCUAAGGCUAAAUACUCUCUAGUGACCGAUAGUGAACCAGUACCGUGAGGGAAAGGUGAAAAGCACCCCGGAAGGGGAGUGAAAUAGAACCUGAAACCGUGUGCUUACAAGUAGUCAGAGCCCGUUAAUGGGUGAUGGCGUGCCUUUUGUAGAAUGAACCGGCGAGUUACGAUUUGAUGCAAGGUUAAGCAGUAAAUGUGGAGCCGUAGCGAAAGCGAGUCUGAAUAGGGCGUUUAGUAUUUGGUCGUAGACCCGAAACCAGGUGAUCUACCCUUGGUCAGGUUGAAGUUCAGGUAACACUGAAUGGAGGACCGAACCGACUUACGUUGAAAAGUGAGCGGAUGAACUGAGGGUAGCGGAGAAAUUCCAAUCGAACCUGGAGAUAGCUGGUUCUCUCCGAAAUAGCUUUAGGGCUAGCCUCAAGUGAUGAUUAUUGGAGGUAGAGCACUGUUUGGACGAGGGGCCCCUCUCGGGUUACCGAAUUCAGACAAACUCCGAAUGCCAAUUAAUUUAACUUGGGAGUCAGAACAUGGGUGAUAAGGUCCGUGUUCGAAAGGGAAACAGCCCAGACCACCAGCUAAGGUCCCAAAAUAUAUGUUAAGUGGAAAAGGAUGUGGCGUUGCCCAGACAACUAGGAUGUUGGCUUAGAAGCAGCCAUCAUUUAAAGAGUGCGUAAUAGCUCACUAGUCGAGUGACACUGCGCCGAAAAUGUACCGGGGCUAAACAUAUUACCGAAGCUGUGGAUUGUCCUUUGGACAAUGGUAGGAGAGCGUUCUAAGGGCGUUGAAGCAUGAUCGUAAGGACAUGUGGAGCGCUUAGAAGUGAGAAUGCCGGUGUGAGUAGCGAAAGACGGGUGAGAAUCCCGUCCACCGAUUGACUAAGGUUUCCAGAGGAAGGCUCGUCCGCUCUGGGUUAGUCGGGUCCUAAGCUGAGGCCGACAGGCGUAGGCGAUGGAUAACAGGUUGAUAUUCCUGUACCACCUAUAAUCGUUUUAAUCGAUGGGGGGACGCAGUAGGAUAGGCGAAGCGUGCGAUUGGAUUGCACGUCUAAGCAGUAAGGCUGAGUAUUAGGCAAAUCCGGUACUCGUUAAGGCUGAGCUGUGAUGGGGAGAAGACAUUGUGUCUUCGAGUCGUUGAUUUCACACUGCCGAGAAAAGCCUCUAGAUAGAAAAUAGGUGCCCGUACCGCAAACCGACACAGGUAGUCAAGAUGAGAAUUCUAAGGUGAGCGAGCGAACUCUCGUUAAGGAACUCGGCAAAAUGACCCCGUAACUUCGGGAGAAGGGGUGCUCUUUAGGGUUAACGCCCAGAAGAGCCGCAGUGAAUAGGCCCAAGCGACUGUUUAUCAAAAACACAGGUCUCUGCU
rnacentral:rRNA from 1 species